rnacentral:misc_RNA from 1 species
GUAGGUGAACCUGCGGAGGGAUCAUUACAGAGAACAUCGCCCGCAAGGGUGACUCUCCAACCCUAUGUUAAUUAUACCUUUGUUGCUUUGGCGAGCCGCUUCGGCCACCGGCUCACGCUGGUGAGCGCUCGCCAGAGGAUCCUAAACUCUGUUUAUACAUGUCGUCUGAGUACUAUAUAAUAGUUAAAACUUUCAACAACGGAUCUCUUGGUUCUG